CAUUAGCUAGUUGGUAAGGUAAAGGCUUACCAAGGGCGAUGAUGCAUAGCCCGAGUUGAGAGACUGAUCGGCCACAUUGGGGACUGAGACACGGGCCCAAACUCCUACGGGAGGCAGCAGUAGGGAAUCUUCCACAAUGGACGCAAGUCUGAUGGAGCAAACGCCGCGUGAGUGAAGAAGGUUUUCGGAUCGUAAAGCUCUGUUGUUGGUGAAAGAAGGAUAGAGGUAGUAACUGGCCCUUUAUUUGACGGUAAUCAACCAGAAAGUCACGGGCUAACUACGUGCCAGCAGCCGCGGUAAAU
rnacentral:rRNA from 1 species